CAGCCGCCAGACCCCGCCCCCUCAAUUACAUCACUGAUCUACAAGAACAUGGAGCGCUGGAAACGGGUCCGGCAGCGGUGGCGGGAGGCAGCCCAGCGCCAGCAGCAGCGUUACGGGCCCAGCCUGCGCCUCCUGCGCAUCAUCUACGAGCGCCAGUGAGGCCACGCCCACCCCGAGGCCACGCCCACCCAUCGACCCCACCCCUUCCAUGUGGCCAUGCCCGCAAUAAAGGCUAUGUGUGUAUG